ACUACGGGGGGCAGCAGUGGGGAAUAUUGGACAAUGGGGGAAACCCUGAUCCAGCGCCGCCGCUUGCGUUCCUCCUUCUUUCUUUCCUUCCCUCUCUCUCCUCCUUAAAGAAAAUGACGGUACCUGACUAAGAAGCCCCGGCUAACUACGUGCCAGCAGCCGCGGUAAUACGUAGGGGGCAAGCGUUAUCCGGAUUUACUGGGUGUAAAGGGAGCGUAGACGGCAGCGCAAGUCUGGAGUGAAAUGCCGGGGCCCAACCCCGGAACUGCUCUGGAAACUGUGAAGCUGGAGUGCAGGAGAGGUAAGCGGAAUUCCUGGUGGAGCGGUGAAAUGCGUAGAUAUCAGGAGGAACACCGGCGGCGAAGGCGGCUUACUGGACUGUAACUGACGUUGAGGCUCGAAGGCGUGGGGAGCAAACAGGAUUAGAUACCAUUGUAGUC
rnacentral:rRNA from 1 species